CCCCAGACCCCAGAGCCCAGCUCCCACCUCACUUCAGUUCACCCUUUUUCCACUCGUGGGACUGCGACUGUAACUGGGACCUGGCCCAAGCUGCGAUUUUUAUGACAGGUUAAUGACACAACUACAACUACGACAAUGAUGGUGCUGCUGAUGAUGAAGCCAAGGCGGGAGUGCAAUACCCACAACCAGGAAAGCUUUGAAAGGACUUAGAUAUGGAUCCUCUCUAAAACAACUAACCCUAGUAUGCCAGUACUUAUUCAUUUUUUGCUAGUGUAUAAGUGCAAUGACUAGGUGACUACUCGGAUGAGUGGGCCGACUCAGCUUGUUGCUGGCUAGCCAUUAAUCAGUCCGCCCUGUGACCAAGCGACUGACCCCAAUAAACAUGACAGGCUCGGCCAUUGGAUUACAAGGCAGGAAGAAAGGCAGACUGAAGAGUGCCAAGUAGCAGGACUUAUCCUCAACUUUACAGAAAUGGGGUGGGACCACACAAAGAAGCCACCGCGAAUCAAUCAAUUAAUUGCACAUUUUCUACACGAGUUCAUCGAACCCCCGAACUCCGCAGCAGCCCUUAAAAUAGGGACAAAAGAAAAGUGCCAAAGGAAAGCCAGCGAAAUGAAUAAAUGUAUAGGAAAAUGAUGGGAUCGAGUGACAGGAGUGAUUGACACUCGACUGCCGGUGGCUUUGAGGUUCAAGGAAAUGGAAAAUACUACUAGCAUGAUAUAUAAUUCGAUUUUAAUGAAGUAGUUUAGCACUAAAAGUGGGUUAUAGCGGUGAUACUUUACAAAGAACUCCAUUAAAAGCUUAACUCCUUAAAGGAAUAAACAUUUAAA